rnacentral:tRNA from 1 species
GAGGGCAUAGCUCAGUGGUAGAGUGCCUACCUAGCAUGCAUAAGGUCAUGGGUUCAAUUCCCAGUGCCUCCG